AACGAACGCUGGCGGCGUGCCUAAUACAUGCAAGUCGUGCGAGAAAGUCCGGCUUCGGUUGGACGAGUAAAGCGGCGAACGGGUGAGUAACACGUGGGAAAUCUGCCUUCAUGUCUGGGAUAAGCCCUCGAAAGGGGGUCUAAUACCGGAUGAUAUCCCGGAGCGGCAUCGCUCUGGGAUCAAAGACGGGGCAACCUGUCGCAGGAAGAUGAUCCCGCGCUCCAUUAGCUUGUUGGUAAGGUAACGGCUUACCAAGGCUCCGAUCGGAUAGCCGACCUGAGAGGGUGACCGGCCACACUGGGACUGAGAUACGGCCCAGACUCCUACGGGUGGCUG
rnacentral:rRNA from 1 species